ensembl:snRNA U6 U6 spliceosomal RNA
GUGCCCCACUUUGGCAGCACAUGUGCUAAAGUUGGAAUUAUAAAGGGAAGAUUAGCAUGGCCUCUGUGCCAGGAUGAUACACGCGAGUUCAUGAAGUGUUCCAUAUUUGA